rnacentral:rRNA from 1 species
GACGAACGCUGGCGGCGUGCUUAACACAUGCAAGUCGAACGGAAAGGCCCUGCUUUUGUGGGGUGCUCGAGUGGCGAACGGGUGAGUAACACGUGAGUAACCUGCCCUUGACUUUGGGAUAACUUCAGGAAACUGGGGCUAAUACCGGAUAGGAGCUCCUGCUGCAUGGUGGGGGUUGGAAAGUUUCGGCGGUUGGGGAUGGACUCGCGGCUUAUCAGCUUGUUGGUGGGGUAGUGGCUUACCAAGGCUUUGACGGGUAGCCGGCCUGAGAGGGUGACCGGCCACAUUGGGACUGAGAUGCGGCCCAGACUCCUACGGGAGGCAGAAGUGGGGAAUAGUGCACAAUGGGCGGAAGCCUGAUGCAGCAACGCCGCGUGCGGGAUGACGGCCUUCGGGUUGUAAACCGCUUUCGCCUGUGACGAAGCGUGAGUGACGGUAAUGGGUAAAGAAGCACCGGCUAACUACGUG